AUACGGAGGGUGCAAGCGUUAUUCGGAAUCACUGGGCGUAAAGGGCGCGUAGGCGGUUUGAUAAGUCUGAUGUGAAAUCCUAUGGCUCAACCAUAGAACUGCAUUGGAAACUGUCAGACUAGAAUACUGAAGGGGCAGAUGGAAUUAGUGGUGUAGGGGUAAAAUCCGUAGAUAUCACUAGGAAUACCGAAAGCGAAAGCGAUCUGCUGGGAAGUUAUUGACGCUGAGGCACGAAAGCGUGGGGAGCAAACGGGAUUAGAAACCCUAGUAGUCC
rnacentral:rRNA from 1 species